rnacentral:lncRNA from 1 species
GCAACAGCCUGGCAACUCAAAAACUAAAAGGCCAGUGGGUCGACCACCCAAGGCCAAUAAAAACAAGAGGACUCCCACGGGACCUGAGGCUGACCCUGAAGGCGAACCCGAGCAAACCCCCCAAGCUUCAGCAGGAGGGGAAAAUCUGAACAUCACAGUUCAGGCAAUAGCAGAGGCCAUCCGACUCCUUGCUGAAAAGGAGAAACCUUCGGAAGAACAACCUCAGAAAGGGGGACCCACAAGCAGCAAGGAACCAAGGGCUGCUGCAUCAGAAUCCACUCAUGGGUUCAUAAAAAUGCCCAUAGAAGAGC